UACGGAGGGGGCUAGCGUUGUUCGGAAUCAUUGGGCGUAAAGGGCGCGUAGGCGGCCGAUCAAGUCGGAGGUGAAAUCCCUCGGCUCAACUGAGGAAUUGCCUUCGAUACUGUUCGGCUUGAGUCCUGGAGAGGGUAGCGGAAUUCCCGGUGAUGAGCGGUGAAAUGCGUAGAGACCGGGAAGAACACCAGUGGCGAAGGCGGCUACCUGGACAGGUACGUGACGCUGAAGCGCGAA
rnacentral:rRNA from 1 species